rnacentral:rRNA from 1 species
CCGGUUGAUCCUGCCGGAGGCUACCGCUAUUGGAGUUCGAUUAAGCCAUGCGAGUCGUGAGUCUUAGGGACUCGGCGUACCGCUCAGUAACACGUGGGUAACCUGCCCUAUGCUGGGGAAUAACCUCGGGAAACUGAGAACAAUGCCCCAUAGUUCACCACGCCUGGAACGGUGGGUGGAUCAAAGCCCCGGCGGCAUAGGAUGGGCCUGCGGCGUAUCAGGUUGUAGGGGGUGUAAAGUACCCUCUAGCCCUCUACGCGUACGGGUGUUGGGAGACAUAGCCCGGAGAUGGAUUCUGAGACACGAAUCCAGACCCUACGGGGUGCAGCAGGCGCGAAAACUUGGCAAUGCGAGCAAUCGUGACCAGGGAACUCCAAGUGCAUCGGGUAAGACCGAUGCUUUUCUUGACUCUUCAAAGGUCUUGGAAUAAGGGGUGGGUAAGGACGGUGCCAGCCGCCGCGGUAAUACCGGCGCCUCAAGUGGUAGUCGCUUUUAUUGGGCCUAAAACGUCCGUAGCCGGUUUGGUACAUUCGUGGGUAAAUCAAGGUGCUCAACGCCUUGAAUUCUGCGAGCACGGCCAGACUUGGGACCGGGAGAGGUGUGGGGUACUCUCAGGGUAGGGGUAAAAUCCUGUCAUCCUGAGGGGACCACCUGUUGCGAAGGCGCCACACUAGAACGGAUCCGACGGUCAGGGACGAAGCCUAGGGGCACGAACCGGAUUAGAUACCCGGGUAGUCCUAGGUGUAAACGCUGUGGACUUGAUGUUGGGAGUGCUCCGAGCACCCUCAGUGUCGAAGCGAAGGUGAUAAGUCCACUGCCUGGGGAGUACGGUCGCAAGGCUGAAACUUAAAGGAAUUGG